UACGGAGGGUGCAAGCGUUAUCCGGAUUUACUGGGUUUAAAGGGUGCGUAGGCGGACCUUUAAGUCAGUGGUGAAAGCUCCGAGCUUAACUCGGAAACUGCCAUUGAUACUAUUGGUCUUGAAUUCGGUUGAGGUUGGCGGAAUGUGUCGUGUAGCGGUGAAAUGCUUAGAUAUGACACAGAACACCGAUUGCGAAGGCAGCUCACUAAGCCAUAACUGACGCUGAUGCACGAAAGCGUGGGGAGCAAACAGG
rnacentral:rRNA from 1 species